AAUCACUUGUUCUUUAAAUGAGGACUCGUAUCAACGGCAUCACGAGGAUCCUACUGUCUCCCCCCUCUAAUCAGUGAAACUGAUCUCUCCGUGAAGAAGCGGAGAUGUACAUAUAAGACGAGAAGACCCCAUGGAGCUUUAAACCCAACAACACCCGCCCCCCUCCAAAUCCUAUUAUUUACCCGGUGAUUGUUUGUUUGGUUUUAGGUUGGGGUGACCGCGGAGUAUAAGAUAUCCUCCAUGAAAAAAAGCUAACUGCCCUUAUUAGAGAAAGACACUUCCAAAAAAUAAUAAAUUAAUUUUAAAUGAUCCGACAUUCGAUCAACGAACCAAGUUACCCUGGGGAUAACAGCGCAAUCCGUCCCGAGAGCCCCUAUCGACAGGCGGGUUUACGACCUCGAUGUUGGAUCAGGGUAUCCCAGUGGUGCAGCAGCUACUAAAGGUUCGUUUGUUCAACGAUUAAAACCCU
rnacentral:rRNA from 1 species